ensembl:lncRNA
UGUCACUGCCUGCUCUCUCUCCUUGGAGAUCCCUCUUUGGGAAGCUUUCCUCUGCAAACCUAGAAUCUUCUGAUACAGCUAUAAUUCCAGCUCUAAAUCCCCUGAUCUACAGCCUGAGGAAUAAAGAAGUGAAAGGAGUACUAAUUAAAACGAUAGCUCUGCCCUGCUCCUUCUGCUCUAUGACAGUCUUUCCAACCAGCCAGUCCAAACACAGGGCAGAGGAAACCUCCCUGAGAAUCUCUCUCUCCCUGCUCUUGGCAGGACAAGGACUAUACCAGUACCCCUGGGGACUAUUAGAAAACAGACAAGGCAGAACAUCCUUCUCUGUGCUGCAUGGAACAUGAAGAAGACUGCCCUGUUGUAGCAGAAGUUGUCUGAAGGCUGUUUCUGACUAUGUUUAAGCGCUCACCUGGUAGUUUACCUUCCAAGCAGGACUCAUGGAGGUCCAGGACAAGUAGGCAACAGUACUAGAGGAGAACCUAGCUCUCUAGUCAGACACAUCUAAUCACAUGCACGCAUUUGGAGGAGACCCAAGAGCCUCCACCUUCACAGCCUCAGCAUCUUCCCUGACCCCACAGCCAAGGGCUCCUGUCCUGCCCUGGCUGCAUCACCCCAACCCUGCACUGCUGCUGCCCCAGUACAGAGCUGGGCAGCGGGCAGCAGCAGCAGCAGCACUGUGUUGAUCCAGAGUCCUGCUGGGUGCUGCUGCUCUCGCCCUAUGCAUCCACGUGGACCUUUUUUGCUGCUUAGCAGAUGCAGCCGGAGUUUGCAAAGCAGACAGAUGGGGCCUUGUCAGUAGUUCUCCAGGCAAGCAGGUGGAGACUCAUGCAGUUAUUCAUAGGGAUGUGCUGAACCUUAGCAGGGCUAGGAUGAUACUCAGGUUCAGACAGAUGCUGGAGGAGAAAGAAAUUCACAGUUCUUUCACCGAGCAGCGCCUGGAGAGCUGGCAGCUCAGAAGCACAGGAUUCCAUUACCAGGGGUUCUCUCCACUACCGCCACUUGGAGCCCUUCCUACAGCAAAAUAAAUGCACUGCAGACCCACUCAGUACCUCCUGCUGGUUGUCAGGUGGACCCAAAUACUGAGAUAGACUUGAAACUGAACAUCACUGUAGCAGAUACCAAAUUUCAGUCUGAUUCCCCGCAGUAUCACACCGUGCUUUACAGAAAUCUGAGUGUUGUAAUGCAACACAGGCAGCUGUCUGCUCCACACAUCUCAACCCCUAAAGAAUAAAGGCAGCAAAAAUCAAUCCAAGACUGUGGGCACUGUCCCAGUGUGCUCCCCAGCAGGUAUGGGCACAGCCAUCCUCCUGCCCAGGGCUGGGAACCCACAGAGCAGUCUCUGGUCUGACCGCUUGUCCCCAGGGUCACAAACCACGAGAUUUUAUUUGUUUAAUAUAGAUUAUAAAUUAGCUGUUCCAAACCUGUCUCCUUAUAACAAGAUCAUGCAUUUGCUUUAACAAAAGUCAAAGUAACAACAAAAACUUUGAAGCCCCUCCCCACAAGUUUGCUAACGAAAUCAGAAAAGCAAACUACAGAACCCCUUUACAAAUAUGUUUGGGUUUGGGGUUUUUUUUUUUUUUUUUUUUUUUGGACAUACCUUCACCUUCUGGAACAAACCUCUCUGCAUACACAACUGCAUUCAAACUGGGCGGUGUACAACAGCCAUGACUUAUGAAUUAAACUAGAGAGGAAGGUGGAACAGCCACAGCCAUUUAAAACACAUCUUUACUGCACUGUCUUUUCACAUUAAACGUGAGGUUAAGGGCUACGACAGCACGGAACAGUCACACAAGCAGCACCAGGGAGAGCUGCAGCUGAUUCUUCAACUACACUUGUUUCUUUAUUUAAGGUCAGAGAUCAGCAAGGAAAGAGACAACAAACAUGGCCACGGAUCUGGUCUUGGUUCCCCGCUACAGAGCCCUGUUUGAUAUGUGUUUGCACGAGGG